UGUAGGUAGUUUACAAAAAGACGGCAUUUUAGUAAGAGUGGAUAUGAUGACACCUAGGAAAAUCAAUGUUAUUUUUGACUAGAAUAUUUAUUAAAAUAUAUUAUUUUCGAUGUGGGAAAAUAUAAGACUCUAUUAAGCCUAUGUUAUAACUAUAUUACACUGAAUUAGUGGACUUGGGUGACGAAAAUGACGGAUGGAUAUUUACUAACUGUACUCGGAAUUUUGAUUUUACCCAGGACAACGGUGGAACUGCA